GACGAACGCUGGCGGCGUGCCUAAUACAUGCAAGUUGAGCGAUGAAGCUUGGUGCUUGCACCAAUUUGAAGAGCAGCGAACGGGUGAGUAACGCGUGGGGAAUCUGCCUUUGAGCGGGGGACAACAUUUGGAAACGAAUGCUAACACCGCAUAAUAACUUUAAACAUAAGUUUUAAGUUUGAAAGAUGCAAUUGCAUCACUCAAAGAUGAUCCCGCGUUGUAUUAGCUAGUUGGUGAGGUAAAGGCUCACCAAGGCGAUGAUACAUAGCCGACCUGAGAGGGUGAUCGGCCACAUUGGGACUGAGACACGGCCCAAACUCCUACGGGAGGCAGCAGUAGGGAAUCUUCGGCAAUGGACGAAAGUCUGACCGAGCAACGCCGCGUGAGUGAAGAAGGGUUUCGGAUCGUAAAACUCUGUUGGUAGAGAAGAACGUUGGUGAGAGUGGAAAGCUCAUCAAGUGACGGUAACUACCCAGAAAGGGACGGCUAACUACGUG
rnacentral:rRNA from 1 species